UCUCCGUUGGUGAACCAGCGGAGGGAUCAUUAUAGAGUUUUCUAAACUCCCAACCCAUGUGAACUUACCAUUGUUGCCUCGGCAGAAGCUGCUCGGUGCACCCUACCUUGGAACGGCCUACCCUGUAGCGCCUUACCCUGGAACGGCUUACCCUGUAACGGCUGCCGGUGGACUACCAAACUCUUGUUUUUAGUGUCUCUUCUGAGUUAAACAAACAAAUGAAUCAAAACUUUCAACAACGGAUCUCUUGGUUCUGGCAUCGAUGAAGAACGCAGC
rnacentral:misc_RNA from 1 species